GGAGCCAUAGCUCAGCUGUAGAGCAUCUGCUUUGCAUGCAGAAGGUCUCAGGUCCAAUCCCUACCAUCUCCC